rnacentral:lncRNA from 1 species
AAAAAAUUUCCAGGCACCUCUUUCAUAUGCUCAAUCAAGUCUUCGGUGUAUUUGGAAGGAAGAACAACACAAACAAAAAUAUCUUAAUGUCGAUAUUCCUUUAUUGAAAUCCUAGUAGUAUGUAAUCAAUUACAUACCUGCUAUGAUGAACCCAUUCCUUGUCCAGAAUUUUAGUUUAUACCUUUAUUAAACCCAAUUGUAAAAUUCAAACACAUAACCAUGCUAACAGAUACCAAAAUAACCAUUUCGGGACAUUUUAAACAGUUGAAUCUAAAACUAAGCAUAAGUUAUGUCAUUUUUAAAAAGUUGUGAACAAAAAUCAAUUAAGAAAUAUAAAUCAAAACCAAAUUCAAAUUCUAGUCACAACAAUAAGCAAAUUUCAGUGUCGAUAAAAAUCAAUCUACAAUAAGAAGAAUAUACAGUUCAAGCAGCAAUAAAAAGAAUACGUUCAAAACACUUAUGAGAGUUUCAAAGCUUAACAAGAAAUCUCAACAACAAAUGAAAGUCACACAAACAACAUGCAAUUUUCGAAUCUGAGGUUUCAAAAAACAUCAAUUUUACCUAAGAUUUGAUCACAAUCGACCAAAUUUACAUUUUUAUUGUUAGGUUACUCGUGCUUCUCUUCUUUAAAGCUUUUGGUUGUUGUUGUCAAAGGAGCUUAAGACCUCACAAAACGAGAUUAAAAUUGAAAAUCCAAUUUCAGUUUCAAAAUCAAACAAAAAUAUUAACAAUUUGUGCUUAUAAGUGUGUGCUUAAACAAAAAUCAAACAAAAUCAAACAAACUUACUUGUGUCUCUUUUUUUGAGUUAGUCUUUGGUGUCAACGGAGCUUGAGACCAGCUUGAGUCCUCACAAAACGAGAUACAAAUUGAAAUUUAGGAAACAUGAAUUUUGAAGCUUAAAAUGAAAUUGAAACCGAUUGAACAACCAGAAAUCGAAGAACAAGGAAUAUUUGUGUCUAAGUUUAUGCUACCUUUGUCUGAGAAAUCGAAGAAGAGCUCGAAGGAGGAAACGAGGGCAACUGGGAAAUCAAAGAAGAAGACACCAAGAACGAUACAGACAAAAGGAAAUCGAGCCCAUACUGAAAAAUCAAGCCCAGACUGAGAAAUCAAAACCGCCGGAGUCAGAUUUUGAUGAGAUACAAGAAGAUCAAGUUUUGGCACCAAGGAAAUCAAACAGGAC